rnacentral:misc_RNA from 1 species
CAGACUUGCAAAGACUCCCGUAAACCAUUGUGAACGUUACCUAAACCGUUGCCUUCGGCGGGCUGGCCCGGGGGUUCUCCCGGGCGCCCUGGCCCAUGCGCGGGCGCCCGCCGGAGGUCUCCUAACUCUUGAUCUGUAACGUGGCCUCUCCUGAGUCUUCUGUACUAGAACGAGUCA